rnacentral:ncRNA from 1 species
CUAAAACCUUAGAAAAGAAUAGUAAUUUGGUAAAAAAUUUUUAGCGAGCUAACGUUGGUGUGAGGUUAGUAAUUUUUCUAGAUGAACGCACUUUUUAGGCAAUUAUUAAAUAAUUGGUAACUCUGCCUUAAAGAGAUUGAGUGGGUAUGCUAAAUACCAAGAAAAGUGGCAACGCGGAAUUGAUUUCGUCUUUUUA